UCGUAAUUCUUUUAUAUAUGUUCUUAGCUAAUUACGCCGGACAAGAAAUUAUAGAUCACAAUAAUCAUAUAUAUUAUACCGCAUAUAACGCUCGCUGGUAUGUAGCACCGUUACACACACAGAAGCUGAUAUUAUUUCUAUUACAAAGAAGCAACAAAAUUGUCAGUUUGAAUGUAGGGGGACUGUUCGCAGCAUCUUUAAGCUGCUUUGCUUCCUUAGCAAGUGCAUCGAUAUCUUAUUUCACUUUUAUAUAUUCUACGUAUUA